UCAAACUUGGUCAUUUAGAGGAAGUAAAAGUCGUAACAAGGUCUCCGUAGGUGAACCUGCGGAGGGAUCAUUACUGAGCGAGGGUGCAACCCACCCGACCUCCAACCCUUGUGUAUCAACCACUGUUGCCUCGGGGGCGACCCGCGUCUCGCGGCGCGGGGCCCCCGGUGGACCACUGUUCAAACCUGCAUCUUUGCGUCGGAUAUUGAUGAGAAAUAAAUCAAAACUUUCAACAACGGAUCUCUUGGUUCUGGCAUCGAUGAAGAACGCAGC
rnacentral:misc_RNA from 1 species